rnacentral:lncRNA from 1 species
UCCACAAGAAGAUCGGUGUAUAUUAGGAUCCUUGGAAGUGCUAGCUUGCAAGAAAAUUUGGAGGCUGAUUUCUUCCUUCUUCUUCAAACACCUUAGAUGCUCUAAAGGAUGAAGAGAUCUAGAGGAGGAAGAGAAGAAGAGGAGGAGAAGCUCUAGAAAAAUAAAAGCUAGCAAGGGAACCAACCAUGGGAUGUCCAAGAGAGGAGUCCCCUUUAUAGAUAUGGGAUUUGGGUUAGGUCAAAGGAGGGCGCCA